rnacentral:tRNA from 1 species
CAGAGAUUAGUUUAAAGAAAAUAUAGGUUUUGGAGACCUAAGAUAUUUAUAAUAUUUCUGA